AGAACGAACGCUGGCGGCAUGCCUAACACAUGCAAGUCGAACGCUCCUGGGGCUUCGGUCUCAGGGGAGUGGCGCACGGGUGAGUAGCGCGUGGGAACCUGCCCUGUUGUGGGGGAUAACCGAGGGAACUUCGGCUAAUACCGCAUAAGCCGGUUGUCUUGAAAGAGAUGGCCGGGAAAGAUUUAUCGCGACAGGAGGGGCCCGCGUCGGAUUAGCUAGUUGGUGGGGUAACGGCCUACCAAGGCAGUGAUCCGUAGCUGGUCUGAGAGGAUGAUCAGCCACACUGGGACUGAGACACGGCCCAGACUCCUACGGGAGGCAGCAGUGGGGGAAUAUUGGACAAUGGGCGCAAGCCUGAUCCAGCAAUGCCGCGUGAGUGAUGAAGGCCUUAGGGUUGUAAAGCUCUUUCGCCCGCGACGAUGAUGACGGUAGCGGGAGAGAAGCCCCGGCUAACUUCGUGCCAGCAGCCGC
rnacentral:rRNA from 1 species